rnacentral:tRNA from 1 species
UCCCCGGUGGUGUAAUCGGCAGCACGCCGCGCUCUGGUCGCGGUAGUCGAGGUUCGAGUCCUUGCUGGGGAG